rnacentral:tRNA from 1 species
GCCGGUGUGGCGAAAUUGGCAGACGCACGGGACUUAAAAUCCCGGGAGGGUUAAACCUCGUGUCGGUUCGAGUCCGACCACCGGUACCA